AUCACUUAUCUGCAUUUUGGCUAAGAUCAAGUGUAAUAUCUGUUCUUAUCAGUUUAAUAGUAGGGGACUGUAAUAUCCCACUUACAUCAAUGGAUAGAUUAUCCAGACAGAUGGUUUUGAAUGAUACAUU
rnacentral:snRNA from 1 species